UCGCGGAGGAGGGCGCCGAAGGCAGUGCUAGUGACUGGGGUGAAGUCGUAACAAGGUAGCCGUACCGGAAGGUGUGGCUGGAUCACCUCCUUU
rnacentral:rRNA from 1 species